UACUAAAUGAAUUGACGGGGGCCCGCACAAGCGGUGGAGUAUGUGGUUUAAUUCGAUGCAACGCGAAGAACCUUACCAGGUCUUGACAUCCCCCGCGAUGCUUUAGAGAUAAAGCGGAGGUAUUCGGGGAGACAGGUGGUGCAUGGUUGUCGUCAGCUCGUGUCGUGAGAUGUUGGGUUAAGUCCCGCAACGAGCGCAACCCCUAUUGCUAGUUACCAUCAUUAAGUUGGGGACUCUAGCGAGACUGCCAGUGAUAAACUGGAGGAAGGUGGGGAUGACGUCAAAUCAUCAUGCCCCUUACGUCCAGGGCUACACACGUGCUACAAUGGCCGAUACAGAGGGCAGCUACCUGGUGACAGGAUGCAAAUCUCCAAAGUCGGUCUCAGUUCGGAUCGGAGUCUGCAACCCGACUCCGUGAAGUUGGAUUCGCUAGUAAUCGCGCAUCAGCCAUGGCGCGGUGAAUACGUUCCCGGGCCUU
rnacentral:rRNA from 1 species